rnacentral:rRNA from 1 species
GUGCCAGCCGCCGCGGUAAUACCGGCAGCCCGAGUGAUGGCCGAUCUUAUUGGGCCUAAAGCGUCCGUAGCUGGUUGCGCAAGUCCAUCGGGAAAUCCACUCGCUCAACGAGUGGCCGUCCGGUGGAAACUCCACACCUUGGGACCGGAAGGCUCGAAGGGUACGGCCGGGGUAGGAGUGAAAUCCUGUAAUCCCGUCCGGACCACCGAUGGCGAAAGCACUUCGAGAAAACGGAUUCGACAGUGAGGGACGAAAGCUAAGAUCGCGAACCGGAUUAGAAACCCCUGUAGUCC